AGUGUAACAUUAGUAAUGGGUUCUCACAAGCUUGUGCCACCCGUAAUAUGUAAAAUGAUAGGACUAUGACCGGAAAUCGAUGUUGCGGACAAUGGUGCAAAAUGUGAGAGCAUGUGAUACGAGAUAAUAAAAGAGCUUAGAGCU
ensembl:ncRNA K09E2.6 ncRNA